UACGUAGGGGGCUAGCGUUGUCCGGAAUCAUCGGGCGUAAAGAGCGUGUAGGCGGUCCGGUAAGUCCGCUGUGAAAGUCGGGGGCUCAACCCUCGAAUGCCGGUGGAUACUGUCGGGCUAGAGUACGGAAGAGGCGAGUGGAAUUCCUGGUGUAGCGGUGAAAUGCGCAGAUAUCAGGAGGAACACCAAUUGCGAAGGCAGCUCGCUGGGACGUUACUGACGCUGAGACGCGAAAGCGUGGGGAGCAAACAGG
rnacentral:rRNA from 1 species